GCUGGCUGCUGUGAGGAGGAAGAGUCAGUGUUUAGAGGAGCUGCCUGUGAGAAACACCAAGGAGAUCUCCGCUGGCGGCGCUUGAAGAGCCUGGCCCCUCUGUUGCUGAGCGUCGACAGCUCCUCCACCAUGAUAUCUCUGGGCGUGCUGACCUUUUUCCCAAGGUUCAGGGUGGGUGAGACUGCAAUGCCAUGGGGGAAACUGAAAUACUGGAUGCAUAUUUCUUUAUUCACUACUUGGGAAAAAUUUCUUUUAUGUCUUUAUUCACAUCCUGUGGAAUUUGAAAAGGAAGAUGCAUAAGCAAGAUAAAAAGCGAUGUCAACCCUUUAGCUGAGGCUUCAGAAGUUAGUUAUGCAUGGGGAUGACCUGCCUGGUCCUGGAUGGUUUGUACCCUUGUGCUGGGAUCUGCAUGGUACCUAGAGCUGAGACAAACUGGGGGGCUGAUCCUCUCCAAAGGGGUUGGCAUCCAGCUGACAUCAACCAGUUAUAUAUAGAACCAAACACUCCAGCCACUCAUAUCUUCCUGGCAAAAGAGGAGAACAGAAAAGAUUCGACUGCACCCACAACAAAGAGAGGUUAUGUCCCUUUCAGAGCUUAUUGAAAAUUUGGUGGAAUGCCCCCCCUGAUGUACAGAUCAUCUCCUCAUCUUCUCAUCACCCCAGAGAAUUAUAAUCUGCGUGUUAUAAUCAGGAAGGAGACAUUUAAAAAGAAGGUGUUAAGUGUAUAGAUAGGCAAGACUAUAGCAGAUGAGAAUGGCAUGGGCUAAUCCUUCAGUGAAAGAUGAAACCCUGCUCCUGUAGGGGCUGAUGGCUAAAGUCAGUGGCAGAUGGCUGAUAUACAGAGGCUGCUCCGCAAAAGAAAUGAGAUUUUCUUCAGCCUGAUACGUGCUAGGGAGUAAUUGCUCAACAAGCACACGUCUCGCAAACUGUUACUCAAAAUCCCUUCACUUUCUUUGAGCACUGGGGACAAAAAGCCUUCAGCAAUUUGAAGCUCACUAAUAUCCAGCAUUCCAGGAUAGUGUUGUGUCAGUUUAUCAAAGAAAUGUGUGAUUUGUAGUGCACAGAUAUUUCCAGACAGCAACCAACUUUGGACAGAAUUAAACAGCGGCAGAAGAGAAUAUUCCUCCCUUGCCCUCCUGUCUGAAUGCAGAUAGAUGAAUUUUGGGGCAGCAAAACCAAGGUGAAGUUCUUCUGUUUCUGAUUUGGAUUUUGAGUUCUAGGAAGUUCCUUUUUAUAAUGGAAAAUUAUGGAAAAUGGAAAAUUAUGACCUAAUUUGGCUUGGAGGAUUGAUCAGAAAAUUGCACGUAUUCUGACUUUAAAGGGAAUCUGGAGAGUAAUAAAAUAAACCAACACAACCUGCAGACCUUUUCCAGCAAGAAGCACUUUGAGGUAGAUAAUAUUUAUGUGCCUGAUCCAAUGUCCUGAAAAUCUGCCUGUCCAACUGAAAAACUGCAUUGUUUUUCCCUCAAGCUUUCUAUUCCCUUUGCUUAGCUUUGCAAAACAUAUUUCUGAGACCCUGGCCAUCUCUGCCCAAAAGAAAUGUUCAUUUUAAUCCUCACCAUCAGAACUGACCUGCUGUUAUGGCUGAUUGAUGAUUUUUUUCAAGCUUUUGUGCCUGGACCAGACACUUUUAACAGUACUAACCACCAUGGUCAACAACCAUGGUCUUGGUUGAAUCUUACCUAUUCAACUAACAACUUUGAAUAGUCUCAGUGGUUCAUUACCAGCCUGCCAAAUGACACUGAAGGGCAGAAAUUUAAUG